rnacentral:rRNA from 1 species
CCUACGGGAGGCAGCAGUGGGGAAUAUUGCACAAUGGGCGAAAGCCUGAUGCAGCGACGCCGCGUGAGGGAUGACGGCCUUCGGGUUGUAAACCUCUUUCAGCAGGGAAGAAGCGAAAGUGACGGUACCUGCAGAAGAAGCACCGGCUAACUACGUGCCAGCAGCCGCGGUAAUACGUAGGGUGCGAGCGUUGUCCGGAAUUAUUGGGCGUAAAGAGCUUGUAGGCGGUUUGUCGCGUCUGCCGUGAAAAUUCGAGGCUCAACCUCGAACUUGCGGUGGGUACGGGCAGACUAGAGUGUGGUAGGGGAGACUGGAAUUCCUGGUGUAGCGGUGAAAUGCGCAGAUAUCAGGAGGAACACCGAUGGCGAAGGCAGGUCUCUGGGCCACUACUGACGCUGAGAAGCGAAAGCAUGGGGAGCGAACAGGAUUAGAUACCCUGGUAGUCCAUGCGUAACGUAGGUACGUAGUGUGGUCGUCAUCACGAGAUCGUCGCGCGCGCUACGCAUUAACGUUACCCGUCCCGUCGGGUAGGUACGGCCGGCCGACGGACGUAAACCGUUAAAACGGUAAAGUUAGUACGGCGUGAGACGUGCCGACGGACGACGACGAGGGAGGAGG